rnacentral:lncRNA from 1 species
AAGUUUGGGGUUGUUGGGGAAAUUUGAAAAAGAAUUGUGUAAAUAAAAAGAAAAAGAGCAUUGAGCUAAGUGUUGAACGAAAUUGAAAAAAAAAAAAGAAAAGAGAAGAAGAAAAAGAAGGAAAAGCUUUAUGAAUGAAAAGUUGGGAAUAAGAUGAGAAUGGUUUCUCAAAUAUAAAGGAGAAAGAGAGAUUAUGGUUAAUGUGAAAGGAAAUUUUUACUCUCUUAACUCAAGGAUUUUGUUGUCUAGAAAAAUCAGUUUUCUUCUUAGCCUAGCCACGUUACAAGCCUUAGAAAGUCC